GUUCUAAUCUCCAAGUCACUCCCAGUGCUCAGUUGCCUGAGAGCAGAACUGUAUCUGAGAUAUGGAAACUCCUAUCUUAGAUCUAAAAAGCAUUGUUGCUACCUGGUUGAGCUCCAGUUCCGCUUCCUGGGUGAUUGGGACCAUCCUCCGCAUCCUGUAUGGACUGGGGCUCUUCCUCCUCUUCUUUCCCUGCCCCAAAAGGAAUCUGCCCUCACAACUAACUUACAAAAGGAGAAACGUCAGGAAGCGUCAAGUGGAGCCGAGAGGGAGGAGCAGCAGGAGCAGGAAGAAAAGGGGAGCUCUGAAAGCUUACAGAGCUGGCCGGAAGGACCUGGCAGAAGUGGGGGGCCUGAUGUCCCUUUCGCAAAGCUCCCCGGGGAGGCUGUCUUGUAAGGGAUGCUUCCAUCGCUUGUCAUCUCAAGACUCCCCUGGGGAGGCGUGCAAGGCAGCGUCUGCUGGAGUCCGCCAGCCAUGCGGGAAGCCUGUGGAAGGUGCUCCUCUCACCACCACUCCAGCACUUUCUCUGGCCCUUCUGACCCAGCGCACUCUACCUUUGGCCUCCACUCUGGCAGCAGAACCUCCAUCGGCCUUGACCAGAACUCCCCUAGGCCCUGUUGCCAUGAGCUCAGCUCCAGCUCACUCCUGUUGGCCGUUUCCCAACCCAGGCCACGGCCGCAUGAGUUGUCACAUUGAGUUCCUCUCCCGGUGGAACACGAUCAAGGUCUGGUUCUUCCCCGUGUCAUCACACUUCGAGUCCCAGCAAGGGCACCUGUCCUGCCACCGACCAGUGACCUCAUUCUGGGGAGGCCCCACAAACAGGGAGGGAGAGACUGAUAGCCCCUCACUUGCCAACCCUGAUGUCCAGAAGCUGCUCGAGACGGAAAUCACGGACAGAAUACAAACGGAGGUCUGGGAAAAAGAACAAGAUGAUCCGGGCACUCCUCAGAUGCUCGAAGCACACGGUAUCAUGUCUGGGCUGAAUUUCCGCUGGGGCCUACCCCUCCUGUCCUUGGGGCCUGCAGAUCUGAAAGCAUGUGAGGCUCAACCCUCGGCCCUUCCACGGUCCCCUUUGCCCCCCGCAGCCACCUGUGAUUCUGGGGCCCCCUCGAAAGCUGACUUUGCACCCUUCAUGGGAAAACCUCUUGAGCCUCCUCCGGGUGACAAAGUCUUAACUUUGACAACAAAAGCAUCAGUUCCCAGCCUGGCCCGUCCCCUCCCCGCUCCCUCAACUGUGUGUGAGGAAGAUCAGAAGGCCCUGGGAGGGACCCUACCUGGCGAAGGCAGUGGGCCCUCGGAAGCCUCUCUCUUGGGACAGGAGGGCCGGCCGCCUUCUCCAACCUUCCCAUUCAGCCUCUCAGAGAGGAAAGGGCAGAGUGGGACCUUCGUGGGGGCCGAGCAAGGCGUCGAGAGCUGAGUUCAGGGUGCCCAGUGGCCAGGAAUGAGCCUCGGGAGGAGAGUCGGGGUGGGGCCUCACCAGAGCCCUGCUGUGGGGUGGCAACACUGGAGGGGGAGUCAUGGUCCCAGUUUGGGAGCCAGGUUGGGGGAAUAGGAGACACCCCCGGGACCAAACCCCUCCAGGCCCUGCCUGAAAAGGAAGAGGUCCUUCACGACAGCCCUUUCAGAAAAAUGUUGAGACGCCUCCUGCCCUGCCUGAGGCCCAACAAGGAGGAAGCACCAGAGGAUCCCCUUGCAAAGGCAAGCCCGCGUCAGCCACCGCCCAGAGCCAGGCACAGGUCACACACAGCUCGGCGUCGGAUGGCGGGGCUGUUCAGGCGCCAUCGACAGUGACAUCCUUCGUCUGCGUCCCCGGAGAGAAACUGAGGCUUGCCGAGAACUUCUGGCCUCCCAGUCGAAGCAUCAUGAAGACCAUUUCAGGCCUCCGAAGCUGGACAUACCUGUUACCACGACGUUCCCUCCUCCCCAGACCAGAGAAGAACAAUGACAGAGGACAGUCCCCAACCUACCUCCAGGGACCACAACUGUCCGACUACGAGGGAAUGGAUCAGAACAGGCGUGGCAACUGGACCUUGCAAUCCAGGCAGCCGCGGUGCCCAGCCAAACCCUGCCAGCCUGGGCUGAGUGUGGCAGCUGCCUCAGCCAAUCCGUUCCCUGCCAUGCUGUCCUCAGAUAUGUGUCUCCUGGGAUUAGUAGACUGUGCCUGACACACCUUUCCUCGUAGGAACGCUUAUCUCCCCAAUCGGGGAAGUGGAGGAACAGAAAACCCGGUUUUACUCCUUAUCCCACCCUCUGUGCUAAUGGUGUCUUCCCACCCCAAUUUUCCCCAAAUACACUUUUUUUCUCCUUAGAGGUCGUGGCUUCUGUGUGUGCCCUGCUAGUGGUCAAAACGGGUCCGCCCUUCCCGAGUGUCUGCUUUGGCUUCCAGAAGGGACAGGGCCACGGGGGGAGGCUGACUGCAGCGUGGCUCACCUGCCCUCACCCCAACUCCCCCACUGCACCUGAAGUCCCCAUCACACCGUCCUUACAAAAACAAACGGAAGCUUUGGGCUGUUUCCAGAUGAGCAAAACCUCUAAGAGCCCAGCCCAGGAUGGGCCCUGCCUGUCCUCUCCUGCGUUCUCUGGCCCUUGAACUUGUGGGGCUGUGGGGAGGGGCUUUGCAGAGGCUCCAGGAAGUGCAGAGACAGGUUCACAGGUCACAGAGUGGGGAGGGGAGUGUGGGGCAGUGCUGGCCCUGAGUCCGGAGGGCGAGGAAGCUUGCCCUGCACCCCGAGCUCUCGCUGGGAAUAGGUGAGGACGCUGCCCCGGGAGCUGCUCCUCUCCCUGCUGAAGCUGCCAUGGAGAUGGGCCUGCGCAUCCCUCUCGGCCCAGCGUCACCGUCCCUCUGUCCUUGUCACAGUCUGGAGCAGCAGCCGCAAGGAUGACUGUGCUCCCGGCUCUGGGGGCAGGCGGGUGGGGAGCAUGGACGCUGCUGUGGGCCUGACCCCUCUGCCCAGAGGUGCUCAGGGCCCUGCUCUCCUGCACCUGCCUUCUCGUCCUGGGGAACGGAGCCGGGGGUGAGUGUGUGGGGUCACCAUCUGAUGGUGGGACACUGUGCGCCUACGGUGGGAUACGGGGGAAGGAGACAAAGUGCCACUAGAGUUUAACCACUUACCUACUGAAUGAUAUUUUUUGAUUUUUAUAAUUUUACCGCUUAUAAAUAAACCUGCCAUGAACUUCUUUGUGAAGGUUUCUGUGUGAACUUACAUUUUUCUGCCCAGUAAAUAUCAAUGGCAAUGAGUCAUGAAGGUCUGAAAAUGGGCCCGCCUCCAGGAUCUCACAAGGAAAUGCAACAUGUGUUAGAGGUUGAAAGGGUGAAACAGGGCAGAGAGAGUAAACCUAACACCGUAUCUUGGAUUUGAGCCAUUUCCUGAGGAAAAGUCCAUUACCUAACGCACGGCACAGAUGCCGAGGACGUGGGAGGGACAGGUAUCACCACAUUUAAUAAAACACUGUCAGAAUGUAUGUGGACAGGAGACCCCUGACCUUUAACCUGUCAGAAGCUCUUUGUUUGUCUGCAGCGAACGUUAAUUAGACAGAGAGCCACACCUAUGGAGCAGGUGCCCUGAAGGAACUGGAUUUCCACUUGAAUUAAGAAGAAACUGACCGUUGCUGUGGACUCAAAUCAUUUGUGAAUGAACAGACUGCUUCGGUUUCUCAUUUGAAUAUUAGCGCAGAAUCACUAGCUUAAGUGAUAACGGAAUCCCCUGAAUCCGAACAGAGCACGAAAAGGUCAGUGUGUUCCUGGCCUUCCUAUGGCUUCUCCUGG
rnacentral:lncRNA from 1 species